rnacentral:rRNA from 1 species
AUGUUCCUUCCCUUCCAAGAACUGCAGACCCUGUCCCUGUAUCUAAAUAUAAAGGGAUGCAUACCUGGUGCAGGUUUUGAUGUGUGGUCAAAAUUGCGAAAAUUAAGAAGCCUUGAUCUAUUUGGAAAUAACUUAAGUGACUACAGCAUCCCAUCCUUAGUUGCAGUUUCGUCACUACGGCGCCUGUCCAUCAGUUUUAAUAACUUGACCUCCCCUGUGUCGAUCCAACAUUUGAGUACAAUGAAGCUGGAUACUCUUGAUCUAAGCGGUAAUGCAUUCAACGGCACCUUACCAACAGGUAUUUGCGACAUGCAAAAUCUUGAAGAAUUAUAUCUUGGUGGAAGUACGUUGUUUGGAGAGCUUCCAUCGUGCAUAGGGAAUCUUACUUCUCUCAGAAUCCUGGAUCUGUCGAAUAAUCUAUUUACGAUAAAGUUUCCCUCUCUUAGCUUUGCCCAUUUGACUUCAUUGGUGGAACUUUCCCUAUCCAAUAACAAUCUUGAAGGAGUUCUCUUCCUAGGUUCCUUGUCAAACAGUAGCCAAUUGACACAUCUGGAUCUUUCAAGCAGUGGUAACCAUUUUCAAGUGGAAACUGUGACUCCAACAAUUAGCCUGUCAGCUCAGCUCCAGGUUAUGGUACUGCCAAACUGUAACCUUAAUGGCAAUUCUGCUGUUAUAUUAAGUUUCUUAUCGCAUCAACAUGCAUUAGAAGCUGUUGAUAUAUCUAAUAAUAACCUAAGCGGCCACUUCCCUUCAUGGUUGAUAGAGAAAAAUGUGAACCUGUCACAUCUAAAUCUGCAAGGCAACUCCUUUAGUGGAAGUCUUCUUCUUCCAUCCAAAGUACACAACAGUCUGUACUGGCUUGAUGCAUCUCAUAAUAGACUAAGCAAAUUACCUACGGGCAUCAACAUCACAUUCCCAAAUCUGUACUAUGUAAACCUGUCUAGGAAUUCCUUCCAGGGCAUCUUUCCUUCGGGGCUUCACUAUAUAGACAGCCUGACAUUUUUGGACUUGUCUAACAACAAUUUCUCCGAUAACAUAGUGUCUGCCUUUAAUGGAAGCAAGUCCAAUAUCCGUUCUUUGUUCCUGUCUGGCAACAAUUUCUAUGGUUCAUUCCCUCAAGGCAUACUAUUAGGUUCCACCUACCAUCUACUACUCAACGAUAACCAAAUCACCGGGGAAAUCCCCGAUAAUAUAUGUCUUGGUCAGCAGCUUACUUUGCUUGAUGUUAGCAGUAACAAGUUGACUGGCUCUCUCCCUACUUGCAUACAUGCACUCGAAAAUAUUGCCAUCUUGAAUCUAAGAGGCAAUUCAUUGGGUGGAUCGAUUCCGCUGAAAUUAUGCCACCUUAAAAAUCUUGUGUUCCUCGAUAUGUCAAAAAACAACCUUUCCGGUCCAGUGCAAUGUUUACCCAGUUUGCAGUAUCUUCACCUGAGUGAAAAUCGACUAAAUGGAACGUUCCCUUUCCCGUUGUCCUCGGGAACUGAUACAUACACAAUGGAUCUACGGCAGAACCAAUUCAGUGGAAUCCUUCCAGAAUUGAUGCACAAGUCCUUUCCAAAGCUAAAAAUAUUGUUGCUCGAAGGAAAUAUGUUUGAAGGACUGAUUCCAAAUGAUAUAUGUCACUUAAGGUAUUUGCGUCUACUAGAUCUGUCUCAUAAUAAGCUGCUGCCUUGUGACCAUGAGGUCACGGGUUCAAGUCCUGGAAACAGCCUCUUGCAGAAAUGUAGGGAAAGGCUGCGUACAAUAGACCCAAAGUGGUCGGACCCUUCCCCAGACCCUGCGCAAGCGGGAGCUACAUGCACUGGGGCUGCCCUUUUUUUAGAUCUGUCUCAUAAUAAGCUCUCUGGACAGCUACCUUCAUGCCUGAGCAAUAUGGGGUUUGAUGGUGAUUUGUAUAACUUCCUAUACAAUGACUCAGAUACUUCAGUAGUAAUGAAUCACACCAAUGGCUAUGAUAUUGGGAGCGUAGUAGGUACUUCUCCCGUGCCUGAAUUUUUCAUAGGACCAGACCAAGAAGAAUUCAUGACCAAGAGCAGGCAAGACAAAUACAAGGGAAACAUCCUCAGUUACAUGUCUGGACUUGACUUCUCUUCAAACCAGUUGGAAGGAUACAUUCCUAAAAGUAUAGGUGACAUGAAAUGGUUACGGGCACUGAAUUUUUCCAACAACUGCUUUCAUGGACCAAUACCAGAUUCUUUGUCACAUUUAAGUAAUCUCGAGAGCUUGGAUCUGUCGCACAACAACUUGACAGGUCAAAUACCACAAGAGUUGGUAGAACUACAUUCUUUGGAGGUAUUCACUGUGGCGUACAAUAACUUGUCCGGCCCUACAUUGGGUAGAAACGGCCAAUUCAUCACAUUUGAUGAGAGCAGCUAUGCAGGCAAUCCAUAUCUCUGCGGACCACCACUGCUGAAGAGUUGCUUUGAUGCACCGUCGAUUCCUCAGCCUGAAGAACAUGAAGAUGAUAGUAAACUUGCCAAUCUGGCACUAUUCAGUUUUUCAGUGUUGUGCUACCUGAUUGGUUUCUGGACCUCCUUGGUUGUGCUUUAUUUCAAGAGAAGCUGGCGCUGGUCAUGGUUUUCAGCAGUGGACAGGCUUGGUGACAUUCUGAUGGUUAGGUCAGCUUUAUGCAUGAGAAGGUUUAACCGCACCGACUGA